rnacentral:rRNA from 1 species
GACGGACGCUGGCGGCAUGCCUAAUACAUGCAAGUCGAGCGAACAGAUGAAGUGCUUGCACUUCUGACGUUAGCGGCGAACGGGUGAGUAACACGUAAGGAAUCUGCCUAUAAGCGGGGGAUAACAUUCGGAAACGGGUGCUAAUACCGCAUAAUAUCUUCUUCCGCAUGGAAGAAGAUUGAAAGACGGCUCUGCUGUCACUUAUAGAUGACCUUGCGGUGCAUUAGGUAGUUGGUGGGGUAACGGCCUACCAAGACGAUGAUGCAUAGCCGACCUGAGAGGGUGAUCGGCCACAUUGGGGCUGAGACACGGCCCAAACUCCUACGGGAGACAGCAGUAGGGAAUCUUCCGCAAUGGGCGAAAGCCUGACGGAGCAAUGCCGCGUGAGUGAAGAAGGCCUUCGGGUCGUAAAACUCUGUUAUAAGAGAAGAACAAAUUGUAGAGUAACUGCUACAGUCUUGACGGUAUCUUAUCAGAAAGCCACGGCUAACUACGUGCCAGCAGCCGCCGAA